rnacentral:rRNA from 1 species
CAGCAGCCGCGGUAAUACAGAGGGUGCGAGCGUUAAUCGGAUUUACUGGGCGUAAAGCGUGCGUAGGUGGUGGUUUAAGUCCGUUGUGAAAGCCCUGGGCUCAACCUGGGAAUUGCAGUGGAUACUGGGUCACUAGAGUGUGGUAGAGGAUAGUGGAAUUUCCGGUGUAGCAGUGAAAUGCGUAGAGAUCGGAAGGAACAUCUGUGGCGAAGGCGACUAUCUGGGCCAACACUGACACUGAGGCACGAAAGCGUGGGGAGCAAACAGGAUUAGAUACCCCCGUAGUCCCUGUCUCUUAUAC